AUUUUUCUGACUACUCUAACAUUCUCUUUUUUGUAGAAAACACAUUUGGGACCUCUUACUACUUUUAAGAGUACAAAUUUUGAGCUCAAUUCAUACCCAUCUCAACUGAGAAGAGGACCUUAGAGUUUUCCUUUCUAUGAAUGGAAAAUAUCAACAGAGCUGGGAAGAGGAAGUUGAGAAUCAUUUUCCCCUAUCCUUGGAAUGAUGAAGAAACUUAUUCAAAAUUUUACAAGUAGUAGUUGCUGGAUCUGGGACUUGAAUCGUUCUUAUUCUACCCGUAGUCUCUUUUCACCAGACUGCACUGGCUCUCCUGCUGGGUCCUUGAGCCAGAGUGUAUGGGUUAAUUCUCUCUGAAACAUUUGUCAGCCCCGAUGUCCACCAGCAUCACAGGAAUGAAAUGUGCUGCGUGACAAGUGCCCCCUUGUUUUUCCAUAGAUUAGAUGGUCAAGCUCUUCCCUGUGGCUGAGUCCUUUGGGGUCAGGCUGCCAGUGAAGGUCAUGGUCCUGGCUUCUCCUUCUGGUUUGCUAUUAUUCCCAGUGAUGAAUGCCGUAUUGAUUGGCAGCAAUGACAGAACCUGGAAUAAUGGGGCAAAGUGACUGAUCCAACACCUCCUCAUGCAGUCUGACCCCUGCUCAUGCAGCCGUCCUGCUGCCCCACACCACACUGCACUAAUGACCGUGAGUUUCCAUUGAACGGGUGCAUUUCUUAUGGGCCUACCCGCCCAUCCGUCAUGAAUUUUUAUUAAACAAAACUGUAAGCAGAUUGAUUUUGUCCUCCUUUAUUGCGUUUUUAUUUAAUUCCUUUCUAUGGUGGAGGCUCCAUCAUGUUACCUCAGAGUAAAUCACUCUGGGGCAUGAGGCCAAAAAAAUAAAAAAGACCUAUUGAAUCCAA